CCAUCUGUAGUGGUACAGCGCCCAGGAACAAUUCACAGCCGAGACAACGGGACAUUAAAAGGUGAGUUGGGGUAAAAAAUACCUAUGUCAUGCAUGAAUUGCUGGACAGUUUUCACCCAUGGUUCAAGGUUUCAGCGGCUUACCGUCUCUCUCUCACUGUGUCUUGGGCAGUAGCCAUUGCAAAGUAAAAACCAAAUGUCACUGCAGCGCCUUUCUGAAAUGAGACCAACAUUUUAAGAAGAAGGAGAAUCUUUAAACAUCACAUGUAAAGGGGAAAAAUCUCCUGCACCUGCUGGAUGUAGUUUUCAGUCAGGCGGUUUCUAUUCGAUAUUCUGAAAGGACGUUUGAGGAAGCACUUUAUGGUGUAAAUGUAUUCAGCACAACAUGACAGUAGAGGGGCCUGGCUAUUGCUGCUGAAAUCAAUAUUCUCCUUUCACGGACGCUUUAAACAGUAAAUGCCUCUCUUUGAGGCAGAGCUGAAGAGCUGGAGGUGAUUGUGCAUGUGCUUGCACACACACACACACACACACACACACACACACACACAAAUCACACAUGUGCACACAUAGGUGAAUGCAAGAUUGGCUGAAAGAUACAGGGCUUCUAUGGAUUUUAUACAUAGUAGAGCAGCACCUUCCUGCUUUUUGAAGGCAUUCAUAAUGCAAAAUGCAUGAGGGUAGAAAAUAGAGCAAAUAAUUGCCAAGAAACCUUUAAAGUUUUCUGGCACAUGCUUGGGGAAAUAAUAAAAAAUAACUUUGGAUGAAAGUAUUUGAGGCUGUUGCUUUAAGUGAAGCCCUUUAAACUAAAUGUGACAGCGCCUUGCUUAUUCAGGAUGAGCAAAUGACAAAAAGAGAAGAUGGUGGGAUGAGCACUUACAUUCAGAGCAUUGUGGUUGAUUCUGCAUUGGGCUUAAAAAGGGUCAAAACUUCCCUUUCGAGAGUUACUAAUAUGUUCAUUCAAACCAUAAAUUGAGAUUGAGUAUUUGGUCAAAAUAGAAUCAAAUAAUUCAAAUAAAUAGGGAAUAAAUCACAUUUUAGCUGAAUUUUUGUUAUUUUUGCCUUUAGUGGUUUUGGCUCUAGCUCCUUUUUUUAACAAUUCCAAUCAUUCUUAUAUAACAAGUCAGCACUUUUUAUUAAAAAAGAAAAAAAAAGUAUUGACUUUAAAAGCAUUCAAAUAGUUGAUCAAAAAAAAAUGCCAUCAAAGUUUUACAGUGUGUUGAAUUAUGCAACAUUUCCCUCUACUUACGUUCUAUUUGAAUUCCUCACAUGAAUGAAAUAGUUGAGCCUUAGUCUCCUAUAAUUCAACACUGCUGUGCUGUCCUUGAUGAUUUAAGGUAAAAAGAAAGAGAGAGAUAGAAAGACAGCACAACACACAGAUAAAAGCGGUAUUAAAGGGGAAAUAUUCCAAACUCCAAGGGAAAGAAAACUCCAGCCACUAUGGCAAUAUUUAAUGUCCUGGACUUUAUGACUUCACUGUGCUGGUAGUGAACUGGACAGAAAUUUAGAUCAUUACAUAGUCAGCUUCAUCUAAUAGGUGAUAAAGUUUGAUCAAAACUGUAAUACGUCUUACUACUCGAACAUAUCGUUGAACUUGACUAAAUGGAGGUACUGUUUGGGGACUAUCAAAACUAACAGUAGUAAAAAGAUGGCAAACUUGAAACCUGAUACCAUCUUAGCAGCCAGAUGUGGCUUUGACACUGACCUGCAUUGCUUGUACUUUGUCAAACAAGUGCUAUGCAGAAUGGAAGAAAAUAUCCUGUUAUUUGCUUAAUUGCUUAAAUAUUAAUUAGUAGGGUAACUAAAAAUGGGCCUGGCCUACUUAAAUACAUCACAGUUAAUGAUACCUUAACCUGGUCCACACGCUUACACAUUCCUGGCCCCUAAUGUUUAAUAUGAUGUGAAAAAUAGUCUGUAGGUUGUAGCUGCUGUUGUCCAGUCAAACAUAUGUUAGAGGAUUUUGUUCUUUGUCUUUAUAGGAAAUACGCCUGGCUAAAUGGUAAGAGGUUAGGUGCCCGCCAGAAGUUAAUAUAUCUGACAUACUCAAUGCUCCAAAAUGUUAUGGUCCAGCUCUCUUAAAAAUUGUUGCUUAGUUCUUCUCAACAAGUGUUUCCACUAGAAUUAACUUGACUUGCAGUCCCAAAUUGGCAAUCUCUUUUUGUCAUUAUUCAUUUCUGCUCUGGAGGGUCUUAUCGAAAAGGUGCUGAGGUGAAGCUUUUGGUCUUCAGUUGUUAACUGCAGGAGCACGACUCAAACCUUCAUAUCAGAGGCAAAAACUGUCUGAAAUGUUAUUAGUUUCCACAUUAACAAUGAUCUUUUUGACGCCCAGAUGGUUUAGUAUCUUUUUCUUGGCUGAGUCACAAACUGGGAUGCUUGGCACAUUUAUAUGUCUGCUCUUAACAUCCCUAAUUAGUGUGUCUCCAGCAACAAGCAUUCGAUAUGGCACUGGUCCUGCCAGCAUUAGGCCUGUGUGUGGGAUUAAUGUCUCCGUGCUUGACAAAAUAGACCCGGUCUUGCACUGAGGUAAAUCCAAAGGCAUGAGUGGGUGUGAAGGCUGUCUUGGGGAAACCUCUGUGUGUAAGUGUACAAACUGGAUAGCCUUGAUAAUUUUGGAGAGUCAUUAAAGCUCCAUAAUGAGUCGCAGUGUGAGGAUUAGUAGGUCUGGGUUAUACGUCAUCUACAAUAUAAAUAGACUGUUUGAGUCAGAAUGUUUUAAUCUCCAUGUAUCCUGUGUCAAUCAAUGUGUUCACCAACUGAAGGAGGUCUGAGGAUGAGGUCUCCUCUUUCUCACUAAUAAUACAUGAUAAAAGCUUUUUUUUCUUCCAUGAUAUAAUGUCAAAGUAUUCUCAAGCAUACGUGGUUGAUACAAAACUUUCAAGAUCAUCUUUCUAUUUAGUUGUGGUUUCGAUUUUUCUUUGCAUAAGUGUAUCACUCCUGCACAAACCCUGCACUCUUUUCCACUUCUGCAAGUUUCAGUUCAGUGCUGAACUGCAUUUCAUUGUCUUUGAACUUGCAAACUGUGCAAGGACAUUUCACUCUAAUCUGAUCUAAUCUAACCUGAUUCUCUCCUUGUACACCUAGAGGACAGACUGUUGUUGGACACAUGACUGAGGAGUAGUUGUUUAGGGAAGUCUAAUGCAUCCAGAGACAAUUUGAGGACUUCUGGUUGAGCGUAGAGUGCAAUGGGAAAAAUGAAAAAAUAUCCUGAGUUUCCCCUUGUGUCUGGCUGCACUUAAUUCCUCAGACCUGCCUCUUAUAUCAGUUUGAACAUUGGUCGAGCCAAGAAUAUUCAUUAGGUAUAUUUAAAUACCUACUAAGCGUCAGCAGAGUUUCAAAACAUGAGAUGCAUGGAUGUCGGCAUCUUCCCUAAGAUGUGUCACAGCUCUUUUUAGUAACUUUGUUUGACUUUGCCACAACAUAGGGACUCUGAACAUCUUGAUUUUGCCUGAACUGCUUGUCAGGCUCUGCUGUCCUGUCUGGACAAUGCAGGUGCUCUGAUACAACUCCUCCAAGGACAUGUUCAAGCUUUUUCGAAAUUUCCAUUGACUGGAGAGUCUGUUUCAUUGACUUCCUCCACUUUGCCUCCACUCUGAUAUAUCUUGGAAAGUUUUGAGUUUUUCUUUUGACUGUAAAGUACAGUCAUAGCAACUUUUCUACUCCAAGGGCAUGGGCACACAGAUCUUACAUGAAGGCUACAAACUAAAAGCCACUUAUCAACAAUAGCUAAUGCAAAGCUAUAAUAGGGUGCAGAGGUGGGCACUAUCUGCUUGCCUCAGAUGUCUUCUCCAAAGACAAGUGUCUUCAAGUGUCAUAUUAUGACCUGUCAAUACAGGAUGAAAACACAAACCAGGCUGGGAAAAGAAAGGCCCAAACACCACCACACACUGAGGUUUACCCCAGCAGGAGGCCUGAGGUUUAUCCCAAGGUCUUAUUACUGGAGAAGUGAGCAAGUCGAGACUGCUCAUAACAGCAAGCCUCAUCUGAAACAUCAUUUUAAGAGGUAGUUCGCAGAAUACAUUUCACAGACAUCAUUAUAAGAUAAAUGAUGUGUUUUUCUAUCUGUAAAUCAUGUAAAGCUGCUCGUAGGUGUCCUCGACUCUUAGAGAUAAAAGAGGUCAGUAUAACAUCAAUAAAUAUGUCUGAGAUACAUUUUCCUCAAAAAUACUUUCUGUCCAGUGCAGGUGGUUCUUAUCAUCCAAAUUGAUGUUGAGUGUCUAUUGUUUUUGGAGGUUUGGAUUCAAUCAGUUACAUGAUUUUGAAAAGACAGACAGCUCUCUUGACAAACACCGGCUUUGGCAGCAAAUUUUACUCAAGUAGCAGAGUAGAGGAGAAACAAGGCGAGACAAUUAAAUAGCAACGGACACUAAUUCAACCACUACAUUUCUGUUCGGCUGUGGACUUCACCAACAUGAGGGAUCUUGGAUGUUUUAAUAUUAAGUUUAUUGCUUGGUUUGGGUAGCAGAAGGAGUUUGACUUUAAUCUAUUAAGCAGAUUGACUCUUGCGUUCAGUCCAUUGCAACAUCCGUCAAGGUGGUAUUUUGGCUUCACUUCUAAUAACCAGAGAAGAUUACAACACAUUGUUCUUACUGAUAGUCAAAUGUUGUGCCUUCUCGGCUGCUAGCCAAGCUACAGCAUUGUUGAUAGCUAGCUUAGCAAGCAUUGUGUUUAGGCGUUUCUAUAUCAGGUCCCUUUCUGAAUUGUCACUUUUGAUCAGGCAGUACUGACAUUUUGGCUGCUUGGUAAAAUGUUUUGUUCUUUCAUAUCUAAAUAUCUUGUGAGACUGUGUAAUAUGGAGGAUGUGCAGUUUUUUUAAAGCAAUAUUAACGCUGAAUAUGUUGUCUAUAAUGAAUACAUUUGAAUCGUGUCAUGUGAAACAUUUGUCAAUGCAAACUACAGUAAGUUUUUUACUGCAGACAGAAAAGUCGUUGUCCCAUUGAAGGACAGCAGUUCCUCAGAUGUGACAGAGCCAUAAUGAAGUUGGGUGGAUAAAUUCUGUUUGGAUCCAAGUUUCUUGAUAUAUUGUAAUAACCUGAGCUCCAGCGUUCUCCCAUGAUAGGUAUCUCAGAGACUCUGAGUGUAUCUCUCUGAAAAUAUGUACUUGGGUCCUCUACAUCUUAUAUGAUAAAGUACUUUAUGGACAUACUACAAUCUCAAACCAACGGAAUGCAAGGACAGGAGGUGAAUUACAAACCUUGAAGUUUACUCACAGAUGAGGAUGAAUGCAGAGCCUCAAGGCUCGUCAUGAGGGUGAUGCAUCAUGUUCUUGUAUGCUUAGGGCUUUCGGUAUACUAUAAAAUUGUGCUGACAAAAAAAGAAGAGAAAACAAAAACUUGUGCAUCCAAAGUGAUCAUGAGAUGCCAAUAACGCAGCCUGUGAAUUUACAUUCUCUGUUCCUCAGAAGUCUGUUCUGUCCAGGACAGCAGGAGAAAAAAGCAACUACGUUGGCAUUCCCAGGUUUGAUAAUCACAAAGACUGUGUGAGGGCUUUUGCACCAGCAGUGUGCAUCUGGGCCAAGAUUAGAUCUCCCUCAGUCCAGUGUGAGUGAAAACAUUACUGGGCGUAUUUAGGGAGGCUGUCAAAGCUGUCCCUUCCAGGCUGUGUUCAAUUCCACUUUGAGGCCCCGAGGGGUUGUGUCUGGGAAUUAGAACUGUCUUCCUCUCGCUCUCACCCACCUACCUGCACAUAAAUUCACACACACAAACACCCCUGUUGGCCAUGACCCAUCUGGUUUUUCUCUAUGUCUGUGGUUUCCCCUGUCUGAUAAGAGAGCCGGGGCUGGUUAGAUGACAAAAAUACAUUUAAUUACCCUCCAGCAACCCACCUACCCACAUACCAGGAUGGACCGAUUCACUCAGUUUCACAGUCUUUCACCUUUUCUCUGGUCUUUCCACCAUCUCAUCACCUGUCUUGCACUGACAGUCUUAUGUAAGUGUCCUGAAGGAUGAGUCUCACUAUGUUUGCACAUACACCAUGUGUACAGGCAUGAAUGCACACAGACAUGUGCACACAAACACAAACAUAAACACAUACAAGGGUUUUUGAGCCAGGGCAUGUCUGGAACUAGUUUCUUUAUUGUUAAAGGGGUGGUGGGUUUGCCUGUGAAGUAGCCUGUCCAUCAACCUCAGCUUGUUAAAGUCUUGGGGGAGUAGAUUGGCUGUGACAUGUCUUGUCUACCUGUCUCUGUGGAGAUGGUUACAUAAUGAGUCAGUUUGGAAGUUCGACGUCUACCCAGGUGAACUCAGUGCAUGUGGGGGAUGUGUGUGAAGACAUAAACAGGUCUAAAAAGGACGCAUGAAAAGAGAAAAAAAAUGUGAAGGCCAUGACUAAAAUGUUAUAUGGCAGGAUACAUUUUCUGAAUUGGAGCCUGUAGCCAUCUACCUGGUACAUCACAGCAGGCACAGUAUGGGGGUUGACAUGCAUUUGAAUAGCUUAUUUCCAGACUUGAGCACAGAUUUACUGGAAGAAAAAUGGUGUUUUAACCCCAAAAUUCAGACAGUGGUUGACAAGUCUAAUAGUGAGACGUCAAUUACCUGCAAGCUGUUUUCUUCUAUAUCCUAGUUUUGAGCUGUCAAUCAAAUUUGCCUGUAAUAUCUUCAUCCUUAAACCAAAGCUUAAUGUAUCACAUUUAUCCUACUCCUGAUGCCUUUUAGAGCUGAGUCGCAGAGGCAGAAACUAAUCAAUGGAAGCUAUACCAUUUUCUUGAGAAAAGUCUCCCAGCUGCUCCUGGAUGAUCUCAAUAAAUACCCUAGCUACUGUAUAUAUGAUAUACAACCUUUUUGGAGUGUUUAAUGUAUACACAAGGGUUUUGUAUCAGUAAUUCACGCCUUUACCAUUUCAAAGCAAGGGGCCCUUGAGAGUCCUGGUAAGAUGUGGAAUAACUUCAAUAACCAUUUUUCAACGUAAAGGAGCAGUAUAUCGACUCUGAACUCUGUGGGUUUCUGAGCUCCUGAGCCUACAGGUGCAUCUCAGCCAAUUAAAAUAAUGUGAAAAAUGUCAUUUUUAGAAGCUUAAUUUUUAAAAAAAGGUGGUUUGUACACAUUCAUUACUCAAAAUGUGAAAUAUUUCCUGCCUCUUUAUUUUAAUUGUGAUGAUUCUGACUCAUGAAAGUCAGAAAUCUAGCAUAUAAACUGAUCAUGUAUUCCCUUUGAUCAAUCAUUAAAGGACUUGAAACAAAGCACGUUCAUUUGUACGCUCAAUACCUGGUUAGGGCUCUUUUUCCAUUGAUUUUUGCAUCUAUGUGCUGUGGCACAGAGGGAUCAGAUAGAAGUGGUGCUGAUGUGUUAGUGAAGCCCAGGUGGCAUUCAUAAUAGCCAUUAGUUAACCUGUAAUUUAGAAAUGGGUGUAUCUCAUCUUAAAUGUUCUCUAUAGGGUUCAGGUCAGGUCAGCUGGCCAGUGAGAGCAUAGUUAGCAAACCAUUUAGUAGAUGUUUUGGAACAGUGGGCAGGUGCUAAGUCCUGCUGGGAAAGAAAUCUCAGCAUCUCAAUAAAGCUCAUUAGCAGAUAGAAGCAUGAAGCACUCUAAAACCUAAAGGUAGACAACAUAACUGGCCAACACAAGCAGAAGGCUUGGCACCACCCUGGUACACUUUUCCCUUUAACAUUCCAACAACCCUCUGCAGCUAUGCAGGUAACAACAAGAAAACCAGGUAGGUGAGAUUGCUGUUGGAGUGAAGUACAAUGAGUUGUAUUUACAGAGCAAUUUUACCCUUUUCUGGAGUUCAGUUUGUCAGCAUUCAAAGGCAUGUGUUUCCCCAUAUUUGUCUUUCCAUCUGUGAUCAAUUACCUGUUACCUGCUAGCCAACACAACAUGAGUCUGGCCUUGAAGCACUUAAAAAUUUGGUACCACUAAAAUAGGGUGACCAUAUUCUGAAUCCUCAAAAAGAGGAGGCUACUACACCAAAUAUUAGUCCUUAAGUAGUGAAUGCUAGUGCUGGCUUUGCUUUCUUUCAAUGUGUUAUAUCCAUUUAUUUUCAUCGGUGCUAUCAAAUUUUAUAGUUUUAUAGUAUAAUAUAUUCAAACUCACCAUUGACGUCCUUAAAUGGGUAUGACCUAUUAGCACCACCUUUGUACUUAAAAUAGACAGGACUAAUAGGUUUAGUGUACUAAGUUUACACAUCUGUGUCUGAUUAAGUGUGCACAUCUUGCAAAUAGACAAAGCAAAAUAAACUGACUACAAAGAUGAGAGACAGUUCAGCACAACACACUGACACUCUUUGAAGCAGUAAAUCUAAGAACCAAGGUGUGAACCCAGAGCCAGGAGUUGCAAGUGUUAAUAAUCUGAUAAUGCUUUUGCAUAUGCCUGUGAGUUUGAUGUGCAACCUAGUGACCUGGAUAAAACAGUUUACACCAGAAUCAUUCAGCAUCACGCAGCUGUGACAGUGUUUUUAAAGGGGAGUGAGAUUGCUGUGGUAACGCCCAUUCAAUACUGAUGCGAGGGCCCCCGCUCAGACAUGCAAAUAGCAUCAUUUUCAAGGCAUUGAAUGAUAGCACUAAGCACCUGUCUUUGCCAAUGGCCACCUGUUGCACUGUAAACAGCUCUCAUGAAAUCAUAUCACACACCAAGACAAUUGCAACCAGUUACACACACAGCCUUAAAAAUACAUCUCACUACACUUAAACAGUGAGAAAAUUAUUCAUAGCAGCUCUCUCAAUAUGUUCCAGGUCACAACACACACACAGAGUAUGAAAUAUCUUGACAAGUAUCUCUUAUCUGCUUUGAAACAAAUCUAAUUUUCCUGGAAACACCUUCUUGCUUGCGGUUGACGAAUUUCAAAACAGAGCUGAUAAAAAUACAGAAAAGAAAUAAAAGAAUACUCACUCACGUAUGAGGAAGUAGGAUGUUUUAAUUUUGGUUGAAAUGAGUAAUUGUUUUUGCUAAACCCUUUGUCAACUUUCAAAAAGUAUUGGUCGCAUGCUGUAUUUUUUUGUAAUCCUAUACAGAUCUUCAUGGAACAAAGUUGUUUGCUCUGAGGAGAGUGGAGGAAACAGGGAAAAGUGAUUGAAGUACAGGGGAGAGGAGAUUGACAGGUGGACAUUAACGGUGGAAAAAAUAGCCUGGUGAUUGCUGAGCGGAGACAGGUGGACGUUAAUGCAAAAACUGUGAAGGCAGUAGACUGUGGACAAUCUGCAUGUCAAGUAUCUUAAGUAGACAAGAAACCUCAUCAGUCUGUACCCUAAGGGGUGGGGCAGGGCUGUAUCCCCUCUCUGAAUCUCAUCUUUCAGUCAGUGUCGGGGCGUAUCUUGGGUCAACAUGUCCGUCUGUUAAGGGACAGGCACAUCCAUCAAACACACAAAUAAAAACAUACCAAACCAAAGCUGCACAGCUAUGAAAACCAUCACAGGUGACAGCAGCCGUUGGAAUAGUAAUGAAUUUUUCAUUUCUAUUCGAAAUUAAUGCUCAAAUUCCAACCAAGACCUGCGUCCACCCUCGCCCAAAUCCAGCAAUGGAUCAUUAAACACAUCAGCACUUAUAGUAACAAGCCACAGCUGUGAUUUUUCAUAUAAUCAGUGAUGCAUGGAAAUGCUUCCAGCCUUGAGGACAGACAAACUGCACACUCGCUCGUACACACAAGCCGUAAAGGACAACUUAGCUCAGGUAGUGCAAAACAAUCUUGGCAGCCAACCUUGGCAUAUUCUCAGCCUUUUACUAUCAACACAGUGAAACGGAGGGCUGACUCUCACAGUGUGCUGGCAAGGUAAGGUGUCCUUGGGUAAACUAAUGUACAAACUGCAUACAGGAAAAGUUCAUAUACCGCUCCCAGAUUAUAAGACCUAAACAGAUGGCAUAUGGCUCCGUUAAUUUAACGUUGGAAGUAUGACAACGCUAAGAGUCACUCGGGCGACGAGUGAUUGAGAAAGUUGUCUUUUAAAAAAGUAAGAGAAAGAAUGAGAAAGAAUAAAUAAAAGAGAGGGAGAAAAGCAGAGCAACAGAUGCUGAAUAUUGUGCUCAUUUAUUCAGGGCCUGCUGUGUUAAUGGCUAUGUAAAUCUGCAGGUCUCACAGAGUGGUAGAAACCAGCAUUGGCAGGACUCAACAAUGCAGCCUAAUUGGAGAUAAGCCUGAACAACAAGCUUAUAGCAUGGCCUCAUAAAUUACUGCUGCUACACCACACAGUCCGUUCCUGUUCUCCAUUACCACGACCCCUCCUCUCUUUACAUCGUAAAACAAAACAUUGUAGGCUUUCCCACUUUGAUUUUGUAACAAUUUCCGGCUGAAUUCAAUAAAAUCUUUUCCUUUUAUCCCACUCUGUCGUGACAGCAUCCUCCACUCCCUUACUCCCUUAAUUCCUCUCUCCUUCCCCCCUUUCCUACUUGCCCUGGCCCUUCCCAGGGUUGUAAAGGGGGCUGUGCAGAUUGAACAGUAAAUUAAAUUAAUGUAGGCCAUUUCUCAAUCAUUUUUCAUCCCCCUAAAAUGAUUAAGGCUGACGUAAGAAGUUCAUUAAAACAGAAAACAUUAGGCUCAUUAAAAAGCCAUUAAAACUAUCGCAGAGAGGUGAUUUAUGCUUGAGUUUGACUGGGGGAGGAAAUGAUUGGACGGAGGGGGGAGGUGAGUCCGAAGAGGAGGAAAUAGGAGACUGAGGUGGUUGAUGGUGGGGAGUCAGCUUUUUUAAAAGGAUGCCACAAACAGUAAACUCAAAGGAACCGGAGAGGAAUAGAGGCAAAAGAGAAACAGUGGGUGGCAAGCAUUAGAGGAUUUUAAGUGUUCGUUGGACCCUUCCUCAGCAGCACACCUAAAACGGAGCUCUGGCUGUUAGAGAAAACAGGUCUCUCCGUCUCUUUAAUGUCUUCACUUUAAGUCAGCAGAGCCUCAAACCAGACAUCAUUAACUGUUCUUAACUCUGCACAUUAGGCUCUGGCAUUUACCAAACUAAAUGUCAUUGUUUCUAAUCAUCAUCUGUAAAGCAGGAUACAAUAUGCGUGCAUGCUCAUGCAGGUGCACUCAUGCAUACUAAUGCUCCAAAUUUACACGUCUGUGAAAUAAAACUCUCUGCUUGUCUUGUUCUAUAUAUUCUCCUUCCUUUUGUGCGUUAAAUCUGUUCAGGAUACGAUACGUUCAGGGAGAUAGUAUCUCAAAGCCCAUUCUCUCCAUUUGACAAGGCAGAGGGAGAGCUUUCAGCCUACUGCUGCAGGUACAAAGUGGCAGAGAGAUCGCUGGAGAUGGAGAGGCAGAGAGGGAAUAUUUUGAAGAAGCUCUUUGAAGCAGCAGGCAGCAGUUCUGUGUCGGAUAGAUUCGGCUGUGUGCUAACGUAGCAGCUGGUGACUCAGACAACAGUGAGCCAGUUUUCUAGAGCUCAGCUCACCUGGAGAGGCUCAGCAGAUCGGAUGGUUAGAUUCUGCUCACUCUCUCUCUAGCUGGAGGCAAGGUUUCACUGAUAUGUCUGCUGCUAUCAAGCAGACAAGCUGUCUGUGAUACUAAUGCAUCAGAGCGUAUUCAACUUGGCAAACAUAGCGGAGUCCCUGUUAUUUUUCUCCUAACCUUUGAGCCUCUCUUACAAAUUUGACCAAAGCCUCUGUGAAACACAUUUGUGUCGGGUUUUACCCAAAGGAGUAAGGCAGUAUUAACAUUACUUGUAUUCUUUAUGCUCCUCUGCUUUAAUCCAUCAUUGGGCCAUGUUUCUUUUUAUUUUAUCCUGCUAAAUAUUUCACAAAAAAAAGUAAAACCCUUGCACAUUAUUCAUCCUAAAGCUCUAAAGCAUGGUCUGUCGGUUAACAAUUUAUUCCAAUAUUCAGGAGUCUCUUUGAGUGUGGAAAUGCACACACAUUGUUACCAUAGGACACAUGAAGCAUGCAAAGCAGGCUGGAGGGGCUGGUACGUUACAGAUCCCUCUAGGUGUGCUAAACGCUGCAUUUCCUCCUUUGAAGAUGGAUGAAACCUUUCCAUACAAAUGCCCAACUGUGGGCGUACGCAAACAAACACACGCAGCUAAACAAGCUCUAACUUUCAUGCUGAUGUUUUAGUGUUUAAAGAGAAUUCCAAAUAGCACCACACAUGGCCUGCUUUUAACCCAGAGGGAUCCCAAUGCAGGCUACCUAAUUGUCUGUGAAGCUGCCAACUGUGUUCCUUCUUUUUCCUUUUUUCUAAACGGGUGUGUGUUUAGUGUCUAACCACCCGGCUGACAAAGACACACUUUGAUAAAUUGGCAAACAGUUCAGCUAGUUAGCAGUCUGCCGACAUGGACUGAGUUUUUGUUUGUGUGUAUGAGAAUGGAGGUUGGGCUGGAGGAUUGGGAUUGUGUGUGUGCGUAUGUGUGUGUGUGUGUGUGUGUGUGUGUGUGUGUGUGUGUGUGUGUGUGUGUGUGUGUGUGUGUGUGUGUCAGUUUCACAAAGAGAAUGUAAAAGAUGUAGCUGGCUGUUGGUAACAUAUCCAAUUUGCAAGCUGGCUGAUGGUUCAAAGUUUCUCCACUGAGUAGCUAUACAUCAACGCUGUCUUCUGGGAAUGAGAUUUUUUUCCAUGACUUAUUUGCAUCAGCCAAUGUACUUCAGUUAUAAUCGAGAAAGCCAAUAAGCUGAUACGUAUAUCUGAACUUUCACUGACUCUUCUCUUGAAGCAACACAACUUUUUCAUGGUUCUGCUGCAUAAAGCACCGCAGAUAACCAUGAGUGCUUACAACCAUAAUUAUACAGGACCAUAAGCACAAUAUAAUGCAUUAUUACUAUAUUUAAAGUGCGUUAUAAUACAUUACAGAGAUGGGCUUUCUUGAAAGUGUUACUGUCUGGAUUUUACAGCUCUGACAACUCAAUCCAUCUUUAUUUUAGUGACGUUUUUAAACAAAUGACCUGUUCUUUUAUUUCUUUUUUUCCCCAAUUGAACCAGACUCACAGUGUUCCCAUAACUUUGAGAUAAAGUCUUGAAGCUACCUGAGGAGAUUUGAUCCUUUUAUAGGCUAUAUGAAGCUUUCAGAAGCAGAAAACCAUCACCACAGCAUGCAUGAUGGGGAGCAGGUGCUAGACAAUCAGAAAACACCCAAAAAAGUUACUUGGCCAAGCCCAGGAACAGCCCAGUGUACAGGGGACUGAACACAGACUGGGGAUUGAGGACCCUCCUUGACUCGGAUUGAAAACCUUCAUGGCCACUCAUACACUCUGCUACCAAAAGUUAUUAUUAAUCUCUUAAAAUUCUUUGUAAGUUGAAUAAAAAAAUGACCAGACAACUGGGAUUUUAUGUCAAAUAACUUGUUUGUGAUCUGCUUGAAUGACACUUGGAGACUCAAAAUAUCAUCCAACAACAUGAAAAAUUUGUGCUGGCAAUAACUGUGAACAAACUGAAGCCAGUUUGUUGUGUGUCACCCAGUGUAACCUUGGUCCAACAUUCUCACUCUUUCUGUUCAAAUUGCCUUUUUUUCACCGUUGCCUGUUUCUCGAGUUUGCUUUUGCCUGUCCCUUCAGAUUGUGUGAAUUUUUCAAUUGCCUGUGUACUGACCUGGCCCAGACUUGAGAACAAACCCUGUCUGCCUUUACUCUGCCCUUGUGAGUCCAACAGGAGUCCAUUGGUUUUGGUUAUCGGUGGUCUGUUUUACUUUUAUUCUCAGAGGGUCUUCCAUGAAUUGAGUUAUGCAUGGUCAGAAAGUCAACAUGGGAGCACAUUUACUGUUGAAUGGUUUGUCAGCGCAGUCCUACUCCACACUCAGAGGAUUUGGAUGGUACUCUCUAUGGGAGUGCAGAAGCAGCAGAGUGUAAGUGAGAGGGGGAGGCUGUGGAAACAAGGCACACAACUGAUUUUGAACUGGGGCAGUUGAGUAGCAUGGCACUUGCCAUGCAAUAUACCGAAGGGCCGAUCAUGGCCGGAUCCACUGCUCCCAACCAGUCACAUGAAUUUAUAGCAUUUUGGUUAGCUUUUAUUCUAAUGUCAGAAAGGUAAUGUUUGCAGUUUAUAUUUAGAGUCAAAGUCAUAUUAUUUGAUUUCAACUUUUGUUUUUGUUUGGGAGUUUAUCGAGAUUGUAAAUGCACUAUCCCUUUAUAGUGUAUCAUGUAACGUGAUCACUCAUGUCAUCCUUGACAUUUUUGUUUUGCAAGGUGUCCUGGGGACUGGGUUUGAUUAGGUGGUGAAAUAGCAACACUGUUAGCCUGUUCACUGUGUUUAGUCAAACUAACCGAAUCAUCUUGAUGGUGCUAGCUUGUGGUGGUUUUGCCCCCCCAAAAUACUGACAUUUGCUGGCUUCUGCACCACAUUUACAAUGGAGUAAUACCAUAUUGAUAUAGUCUGCUUUUGUUUGGAUGUUGGUAUAAUAUAUGCGUUUCAAAAGAAGGUAUCCAGUUAUCUCUUUUUAUAUAAGAAUACUGAAUCAGCACUAAAGAAGUGGAGCCUUGCUGAGUGUGUGAUACUAUCAUGUGUUGACCCGGUUACUUAAAUGCUGAGCAAGGUACUGACACACACAUGCACUGCACACCACGCCGCUUCCUUCCCUUGGUUUAGGAGACGGUCAAACAAAAGGCAGAGUACACUUGGAAGCAAACCAAGAUUCACGUUUUCACCUAUUUGGUCCGCACCAGGGUUUAUUUGAGCUUUCACACUACUCCAAACCAACCAGACUAUCAGAGACUAAAAGACCAAGGUUUGUUUAAAGUGUACCAACAGCUCUGUUGUGAAUGUGACUUUUGAUUGCACAGUCUCAGUACAUCAAGUGUGAGCUUUGGUUUUGCAUCAAAAUUGAUUAACUUGUAUGAAGUUCACUUCUAUUCACAACGAUGAGAAAAUUGUAGAGCAUAGGUCUGGACAGUGGAAUUAAAGGGCCUAGCUUAGUCACUCCUUUCUCCAUUGUCUGAACCAGUACUAGUUUCCUAGAAUCCAAUAAAAGUUUCCUGAAAUGUCUAACUGCUCUUCAUCAAAAGUGUUGUUUAUUGAACCGCAUGUAGUUAAGACUCUUGGUUUCUGGUAAUAAAUCCCUGUGGUUUUAGUGGCCCAUCCACCUUGACCAUUUCCCUGCUGCAUAUAAAAAUCUUCUAAUUCAAAGCCAAAUAUGUGAGCAGUUCUUUAAAUCAUAAAUGAUCAGUUAAAUGCCAUCUGUUCCUUAUAAAAAAAAAGACAUCAUUGCAUUUCUAGCCUGUUGAGAAAUGUGAUUCAAUGUCUCCUACUUAAAAUCAGCUUCAGUUUGUUUGACCCUUUCUUCUGACUUUCCUUGUUUUUGGUUUGCUUUUUCUCUCCUCUCUUCUCCUGCCUCUGUCUCUGUUUUUAUUGCAUAAUUUGCUCACAAAAUCCUCUGAUCUGUUCAGCUCCAAAGGCUCCUGAUGAUACAUGAAUUAUGGAAUUGGACAUUAUUCAAUAUUCUUUCAUGCUGCUCUUUACAUUGUGCUGCUAUGAAUUUAUUGGUAGGAAUGCAGAUGGGAAUAAAACAUGAUAGGAUCCUGAUUUGUAGUUGCAAAGUCUGAUGCAAUAUUUGCUUACAGCAAUUCGGUGCAGCUAGUGUUCAGUUCCACUUUAAACACGCUGCUCCCCUAUGGAGUUCUGUAGAAUAAUGCAUAUUCAAAUAUGCGCAUACUGUCACGCUCAAAAUGUCACAGUUACUCUUUGGAUCUCUAUGGAGUGAACACAUUAGCACUGUUUGUGUGUUGUGUUGUUUCUUGUUGCUGUGCAAACACAAUUUAGAGCCUAGCUGAGUCCCACUGAGUUAAACCACACAUGGUUGCAUAUUCAUGGACACAGUGGAUAUACAUUUGUGACUCUCCUGUUUUGUAUAAUCCUUGUGGAACAUGUCCAUGUGUGUUUGGCUCUUUCUGUCAGCAGAGGUGGUCAGUAUGAUAUAAAUAAAUAAAUCAAUAAAUAAAUAAAUGCUCAAAUCUUAGCUGUCUAGCGUGAUUAGAGACUCAUAUACACACCACCUGGGCUGAAUUUGGCCAGUGGACUCGCUCAACCCAAAUGAGUGACAUGCACGACCAGCUCUGGCUUCUUAAUGAAUUAGUCAUAACUGCCAUCAUCAAUCAAUCAAUCUAUCAAUCUCUCAGUCACUCCUGCAGGGCCGCUAUGAAGGCAUGCAUUAUGCAUGGUGUGUUAGUCUGAAAAGGGAGACAAACUGCUCAUUUCACAUGCACAAGUUUGUGUGGAGCUUUAGAGCACCUUAGGUAAGCUUAUGAUGUGCUAACGUUUGGUGAUGCUAACUGCCAGGCACCAGCUGCACGAGUGAGUUUAGCUCUGUGAUGGAGUGACUUGCAGCUAUCUUUCCCCCCUGACAGAAGAAGGCCAUCAUUUGAUUUUCAAAUGUUUCCUCUGUUUGUCUGUCAAGAGCAAAACCUGUCACCCUUGAUGUGGGGAGCUGAAAAACGUCAACCUCAAAGUAGUUUUGUUUAAUACAAAUAGUUUAUUUACAGUUUUAAUAUUUUUUUCCCCCCAACAAAUUUAAAAAGAAUUGUUAUUAACAGUUUUGUUAGAGGUGAUAGUUGACUGCACAAUAAUUUCUAUGUUGUUUUGCAUCCCUCACUUGUGCUGUUGGCUUAUGUCUUAGCCCUGCCCACCAGAGAUGCUCAAAUAGAUCCAAGGAAAUGAAGAGAGGAGUCAGUAAACUUGUUACAAGAAUCAUGAGACGUCCUUUUACCCAGUGUGACGUGAAGUUGUAAGUCAUUCCUUAAACAACGUUAACGUCAGAAGAAGUCACUGUCUGGCGCUUUUCUUAGGUUAGUUGAGAAGAUGAGUACAUGAUGAGUGCACACCAUGAUUGAGCUCCCGUAAUUUAUUUUUCCUUGAUUCCUGACUCAGUUAACAGUGAGUACCGUGAGGCCGCUUUGUCAUGUAUGAUAUCACUGACAUGAGGUGAAACAGAUACGCAAUGCUGACGGAAUGCACUCCAUACGGACCAUGUAUGUUUUCGGCUUAACUGUAUUCUAUCUCUGUGUGUUACAAGUAAAAAAAAAAAAACACAAAACAAACAAACUUGAUUAUUGAUUUAUGACAGUUAUGUUCAAUAUUUUGUGCUUAAAACUCAUGUUUGACAUUUUUAAUCUCAGCGCAUUACGUACCAACACUUAAAAUCAAAGGGACUGACUAUUUUAAGGCCCCUCUCUUCCACAUUAGUGAACUCUGGUCAUGUAAACUUUCAGUUACAUCCACUCCUGUUUCUAUGAAAUCAAGCCUUAUUCAAGUUAAUGCAUUCUAAUACAUGUUUCUGUUGUGCUCAGAUCGCAGGCGGGAAUGAGAGGCAAGGCUGGGGUAGAUUUGGGUAUUUUUUGUUUCUUUGAUUCUUUUGUGCUACAUGGUUUUGUGCUAUACAAAUAAAUACUGAUUGAUUGAUUGAUUGAUUGAUUGAUUGAUUGAUGUCCAGUGUGCUGCAGCAUCCAUUCAGUAAGUGAUAUUCGAUUCUUUGUCAGUGAAAAGAUUUCCGCAAAGACUGCUCUCUUGUCUCCUCUCUCACCACUUCUUGCCCAUUCCUCUCUCCUUUCUCCUGCUACCAGUUUGGCGGAGGACAGAGGAGACUGUGUUAUCAGCUUUUGGAUGGGGACAAUAUUCCCAUAAGGCAAAGACUUUGGUCCACAGAUAAGAUUUACUGUAAGUCCUCAGAGGUUUGAAAACACUGUGAAUGGAUACACACACAAAAAAACCUCACCGAGUACAAAUACUAUCGGAGCCCUUAAUAGAAUUUGUCUAAAUAAAUGUAUUAAAACAAACAAGUCAUAAGCUGAUUUUUCAUCCUUUUGUACUGUGAAAACAUGAUACAAUACACCAGCAAGAGAGCAGUUUCAAGCCAGCACAGUGUUGUUAUUUGUCAAAGACUGUUACAGCUGGCUUUUACCGAUGCCAGUGUAUUCACUUUUGGAUGUAGUACAUAUUUAAGAAGUGAAUAAACUUCAGCAGUUAUUACGCGCUUUGUUCUGACUGUCUCAACUCUUUGGAAUCACUAGGAGCUUGUUGCAAAGUCUGAGGUCAAACAGCGAGAUGAAAUAUGUAAUGUGUAUCCUCAGCAAAAAAUGCUUUGACUCGCUCACUUCACACCUCGGCCUUCCAUCCUGCUUUUGGUGGAUUCAUAAUUAAUGAUCUAUGAAUGAAUAAUGCAUUUUCAUUUCACCCUCUCCAGUAAAACAAGAAUUUCUGGCGUGUGACCAUGUCCACUCAAGUUAACACAACUGUGUUCCUCUCGACAAUGGAUACUGUUCUCUAUUUUCUUCUCUUUCUCCUUUCCUUCUUCUCCUCCCUCCCCUCUUGUCCUCUUUUCUUCUCCCCUCUUCUUCUGUCCUUGCACCCCCUCCUGCAUUGAUUUUUCUGUUGCUAGCAAUGCAUUUUCCAUACACCUGCUUACCUCCAUGCACCAGAAUCACCUUUUUUUCAGUCCCCUCACUGAUCAUCCUCUCGCUCGUACCAUCUCCAGCCCAAAAGAGAGACGAUCCAUUAAUCAGCAAAUAGUGCAUUACCUUUGUAAUUAACAUUCAACUGAGUUUCACCCAGUAAUAUUUCAUUAGUUUAUAUGCAAAUAAUUUUGAGCGAUUGCCUCAUUUGGUCUGUGAGUGCAAUGAUAUAUUGGUCUGUGGAUGGAGUGUGUGUGUGUGUGUAUAUAUGUGUGUAUGCUGAAGUGUGCAUUUGUGUGUGUGUGUAAGUGUGCCCGCACUCGUACUGUAGGUUAACGCAUUUUCAUGAACUCUCUCCAUCUCUCUGUCUUUCUAAUACACAUACACUUUCUCUCCGUCACAAACACACAUGCAAAUACACACACAUGAUAGAUUGCUUGGCCAUAUAUCCUUGUGCUGGAUUUUUUAAAGGCAUUAAGCUCUUUACUCACAUUGAACUAAUUUCAGAUUCACUGCACUCCAUCAAACCUGAGCUGACUGUAAAAAGCUCAGUCAAUUCCUCUCAGUUUACCUGAGAUACAUCUGCACAUACACGAGAGUUGCACCUUUAAAAGUGCUGCCAGUUCUGCAUGUUUUAUUUAACAUAAGGAUGAAAAGGCGGUUAAAGCUCCCUGUGAUCCAUGUUUAUUUCAGUUCAUUUGCAUUCCUUAUUUUGGUCACUUAAAGGCCAUGCAGCCUUGUAAGUGAGUCUAGCAGUUUGUAUUGACUUCAGGUCUGUGAGCAUUAUAAUAAUGAUCAUUAUUACUUUGUAAAGUCUGGUGGAAGAGUGAAGAAGAAAAGAACAGAGAAACGAUUUUAAUAUGAAACAAUCUUGACCAGCUUCUGAAUAAUAAUUGCCUUUGCUUGUGUUGCUAACAAUACCCUCAGUACAACUCUGCUGCAUUACAGUACACAUCUUUAUAUUAUAGUCCAGUAAUGGAUGAUGAGUAAAGAGUUUGACCUGGUAAUCAACCACACUUUCACAGCAGCAUAUCUCCUCUUUUACCAUGUUCCAAGCACUGGUUGGAAACCUAAAAUGUUGUUGUCAUACUUUAAUGCUUUCUUCAGGUAUGCAUUUACUGUUGAGGUACACACUACUGCAAUAGGACAAUGAUCAUCUGUAACACAGCGGGGUAUUUUGUUACCGUUGCUACUUGCAUUACAUAAGGCUUUUUGAACUGUCUCCAAACAUGAGGACAGAAAAACACAAAUCAAACAUCCUUUUUGCAUGUACACUCCUUGAAAGUCUACCUGGAUGUGUCUGUGACUUAAACUCAAGUUCAUAGAUGAGGAGAGAAGCAACGGCAGAGCAGCUCGACCAAAGGCAUAUUUUCAGGCUUGGGUUUAUGCAUAUUUCUUUAAGCUUUGUUUCAUGUAAGGACCAGGAUGGGUUAGUUCAGUGGAAACUGCAUCCAGGCCAGAAAUAACUUUCCACCUCCGUCGAGUAGACAACAAAUGCAUACCACUUGACAUUUCCAUAGAUGCCUUAGACGUUGUUCGCCUUUUACCUGAGUGAAAGUUGAGUCAGUGUCUGACAGUGUAACCUCUUGCCUGCCAUUAACAGAAAUCCAUUCAGCAUGCGUUCAUGCAUUGCUGAGCCAUGCAAUCAGGUACGCGCCAACAAGCAGGGGUACAUUCAGACUUUUGCUGUCGGGCGGCCCAAUGGUGGCACUGAUCUACAUGUGGGCCCACGUGUGAGUAAAUAACAAUCAUUAUUGUGGCAUCAAUGUCCUACCCAAACCUUUGGAUUGAAGAAAUUAAGCUGAUGUAGAACUGCCUAAAAUUGCUGUUCUCUGAGUGCACACUUGAGACUGGCUGCAGAAACCACAUACACACAUACAAGCUGAAAAGGACAUUUUAGAGCAGAGAUAAACAAUUUUUUGUAACAUAUUUGGUUCAAGGUUAUGAAGGAAAACAGAUUGGUAGAUCAGGGGCACACUGUCAGGAGACUCAGGGCCUGCCUUUUUUAGGUUCACCAAAUAUGGUGACAUGCACAGUAGCUCCAAGUCAUAGAAUCGCCAAGAAUCUGAGGUGGUCUUUCCAUUGUACCAUAAUAAAUGUAAACUUUAACACCAGUUAGAAACUGUCUGGAUGCUUAUGUUGUGAUCUUCUUGACAAACGUGUGUUAAAAUAAUCUAGCAGAAACAGGCUGUCUGUUUUCAAUCUGCUAAUUGGGUACUUGCAGUAACAGGUUCAACCCUAAUGAUGCAAAGCUUUGCACAACUCUUAGUCGUUGUACUUUCAAACAUAAAAAAGUGUCUCCCAAACAGAGCAUAUAUAGGAAUCAAGAAACAAGUGAUUUAAAUCAAAACUGUAAUUUGAAAUUGGUGGUAAACGUGUAUUUUUUUCUGCAAUACUGUGCAUUUCAAGGUGAGUGUUAAGAGGGAUCCUUUGGCCUCUGUAGCCAGCACUAAGUUGAACCUUAAGAAAAAUGUCUUUUUGCACUUGAGUUGCUUCAUUUUUCUUCACUGGUGGUUGCCAUUUCUUUUUGGCUUAGAGCAAUAGCUUGAGUAUAACAUGAGUGACAUAUCACCAAAGAAAAUCAAAGAUGUCAUUCUGAUAUUUAAGCCACCGAUACCAUAGACGUAAACUUUACUUGGCCUUUGGCGAUGGUUUACAUGAUGCAGUUCAUGUGGUGUGCUGCCCUAGAGCCUGGUUCAUCUCUGGGACUCCCGGUUCCAGAAGGACACCCUCCCGCACUUCACCCUUUCCAGUGUCUGAUUGUUUGACAGGCAACUUUAUAUUUUAACUUAUCAUCUUUUAUUUUACUGAUAUAAAAUGGAUGUAACAAGAAAGAGACAGUAGGAGUAAGAACGUGCACAUGUCAGUGUUACUGUGUACUCAUUUAUAAUGCAACUUGUCAAAGAGGUGAAGUGAUAUUGGAUGUGAUACAUGUCAAAAACUGGUCUUCACGACAACUCAAGUGCAGACAUAACCAGAAGGGACAGAUAACUCCUCUAUAUAUAUAUAUAUGUGUGCAUGAGAACACACACACCUGUGCUGCAUGUUCAUACAUUCAGCUUUGCCAUUUUCAAAGCAACCUAAUGCUUGUGUCUGCAGCAUCAAAUCUUUGCCUUAUCAGACAGAAUAACUAUGUAGAAGGCACUCAGUGAAGGUUGGUAAUUAUGUGAGAUUACGGGAGGUGAGGACAGGAAAUAGAUCACCUUUCGCAGAAUGUUACAGAAUUCUCCAAAAUUACAUUCAAUUUAAUGUCUAGUCAGACUUAAAUUGCCUUCCUUGGUAAAUCUGUUGGCUGGUGGGUUCCAGGAAGGAAGUAUUUAUUUUCCCUUCUUCUUCAGUUUGAGAUUGUAUAAAUAAUAAAUUGAAUAAAUGACUUCAUAUUUCCAUUUUAUUUAAGGUGCGGCACUUUUUAACAAAGUUAAAACUAAAUUACAAAUACCAAGGUAAAACGUUUAAUUAAUUUGAAAGUAAACAGCAUUAAAAUGAGAAAAUGUAAUGAAGCAUGUUGAAGACAGUUUUUAAGAUACAGAUUGCAUUUUUCAAAAACCUUUUUUCCUUGAAGGUGGGAUUUUUUUUAUUUUUAUGAUUUUUAUAAGUAGGUUUAUGAGGUACUUGUUAGUAGUAAGUGUAUCACCCACACAAGAUGCUGAUCAGCUCAGUCCCAAUGUUGAGAAACUGGUUAGAGAGCGCAAGAAUAUCAUCUGCUGCAGACAUGUAGUUUAACUAGUUAUUUUGAAACUCUGACCCAAAUGUUGGUGUAAAUAUGAGCUUCAUUUAGCGAUUUUUUAGUGCUUUACUUUGCUUUAAAAAGGCUCUCCACUCUGUCACUAUUCACAGAUGCGACACAAAUGUGCUCCUUCGCAUGAAGCCCACAGAUCUGCUUAUGUGGCAGGCAGCACCUUGCUGCUGUUGAAUGCAGCCCUCCCUCCUCCUCUAACCCCUCCCUUCCCCUAAUCAGGUCAGCUGCAUAAAAGGCAGCAGCUCACCUGCAGUCGGCCUUCUGAUCUGCUCAGAGUGUUGGUGAGUAGGGUGGCUGGUAACUUUUAAUCCUUAAGCCGCGUUCAGACCAGCCGCGACCUGACGCGACUUGGCGACCGCCGGCUUCCUGCGACGCGACCAUGCGCGACCGGGCGACCGGGCGCGACCGGUCGCCAAGGCGCGUCCCCGAGGUCGCGUCGCCGAGGUCGCAGGACGCCAAGUCGCGUCGCUCCCAAAGUUCAAAUAUUUGAACUUUGGGAGCGACUCCGUGCCGCGACAGCCAAUCAGGGCUCUGCUGACGUCAACAAACCGGCGAAACAAGGAAGAGGAGAAGAAGAAUCACAAUGGAGGAGCAGUUAAUCACAUCCGUUAGCUACCACCCGGUGCUAUACGACGUGGGUUGCGGGCUGUACCGGGACCGCAACGCCAAAGAAGAAGCAUCUCAGUUUCGGAGCGCCUGUAUUUCGUGUCCAGGCGGGAGAUGCUGCUUCCCAUCCGGGCGAGGAGGUCCUCGAACUGCGCCGUCGACACACGGAAGUACCGCUGGAAGCGGCCGUCGUCCAGGCGGAGUUCCUGGAGCAAGCGGUGAAAUUCACCCAGCUCCGUCCUCCUCCGGAUGGUUUCAUGCACCCAUAAACGCCGGCGGCGUAUACUGCGGAUGUACAGAUAUGCGGCAGCACUGAUGAACUGAAAACUGAGCUAGUGACAUGGAUGACGUCACCUGCGACCAGCCGCGACCUGCGACUGCAGCUUUGGACCCGGUGUUGACACACCAGGGCACCACGCGACGCGACCUGACCGACCAACGCGACGCGACGCGACCUGGUCGCGUUUGGUCUGAACGCGGCUUUAGAGUUUUAUGAUUGCUUUUAACAGCAUGUCUUUUUUUGUUUGUAGGUGGUAGACCUGCUGCUGUUUUGUUGCCCCCCAUUAAUUAUAGUUAUUUUAGCCUGUUUACUUUGGUUGUUUCUGCCCUUUUGAUUGAUUUUCCCCCUUACUUGGUUUGUUUCUACUUCUAAGUUUGGUUGUUUUACACAGUUACUCCCCCAUUAGUUUGCAUUCUGUUCUUAGUUACCCUUAGUUGCUUUUCUCCUUAGUGCCUCUAGUUUACCAACUGGGUUCGCUGUUGUUGGUUUGUUUGAUUCUUUGGUUAAUCCUUUUAAUUUAUUUCAGAAGUUGAGCCCACUAGUUUGGGAGGCUAGGCACCCCAGGUGAGGGCCCUCCACCUUUGCAUGAGUUUGACACGGGGUCACAAGACUACACCGAUUUGUUUCUUUUGUUGAAGGUUUGCAGUGUGUGUGCUGUGCUUCACUUGGUGAGUAUAAGGGAGCACCCCCCUGCCUCAGCUUAUCUUAAGUUAACUUAGUUUGGGUUUCUUUGAUUUAGUUUAAGUUGGGGUUAUUGUACUUUCUAACUUUUGUAGAAGGCCUUGUUUUAAAUUUUAUUAUAGAAAUAAAAUUAACUUUCUUGCCCCUUAUCUGUGUUUUGUUAUGUUGUUUUAACUUUAUCCCUUUCUUUCCCUCCUAGGUUAAAUUUCUCAGUUAUAUUUAUGUUUAACUUCAUUUUUUUUGAUCUAAUAAACAUUUUGAAAUAUUUUGAACUCUGUCUCUGCCUCUUCAGAACUUACCUGUGUUGCCUUAUUCUUAUUUUAGCUUCCUGUUUUAGUUUGAAAGUACAGUUUCCUGGGGUGCAAGUCCCCAGGUGGCGUUGCUGGUUGGAGACAAUAUUCUCUAUUUUUGAAUAAAAUAGCACCCCCUUGCCACACUUAUAAAGGUUUAUGAUGUACAGUAAGCUUCACCUCUUCCCGGUACAUUUUUAUUUUGUGAUGUUUUGCACAGCAGUUUGACAUAAUUAAAAUAAGCAAAUGCCAAACAUUUUCUGACCACAGCCAUAUGUGAGCUGCUUGCAUCCUCUGAUCCAGAAAGCUCCAAAUGCACUGUUGUCACCAGAUCUCACUCAUGAUAGCAGUCAGAUCUCUUGAUUCUUGGGCUUGCAGUUCACCUGUUGGGAUCAGAGGUUUGAGGCUUGCUCUCUCACUCCAGGGAGGAAGCUUUGUUAUAUCCAGUUUCAUGUUUUUUUUACAUCUGUCAGGACUUAACUUCAUGAUUAACUGCCAACACAAUUCCCCCUCUCAAUCCAGUUGAUCUGUAGAAAGCUUCACCUUCUCUUUGAUUUGAAUUGGCACCGUUGAUUGAUUGAUUGAUUGAUGUGGAUGAAAUUGAGCCUCAGGAGGAGAGUGCAGCUCUGUGCAGCAGAAAGUAUAGGGGUCAAACACUAAACAAGAGCUGAUUGUAGUGAGCUGCAAUAGAUGUAUUAGUGUCUUUGCCUUCGCUGUGUUUUGUUUGUUUACUGGUUUUUAUGUUCAUUUAACCUCUACUUAGCCAGGUUAGUCCCAUUGACAGCAUAGAUUGAUUUUCCAAGAGAGAUCUUGCCAAGUAACAGCAACGCAAAGUGUCAGCAACAAAACAUUCACACUAAUGCAACUGGACUGACAAGUAAAUGAAAACAAUAAAAGAAGUCAGCUAGAAGAACUGCUUACAGAGAGACUAACUUUUAACUAGGGAUUUAAAUAGUCAGGUUAACUCAGUUUUGCACUGUAAAAAUCAUAAGUUAAGUUUUGGCACACAGUAAAAUAUAAAGCUAUGGAUGUUGGCACAUUACUAUUACUACAACUUCUACUUCUACUACUGCUGCUGCUCCUUCCCAUCCUCUGUCUCCCUCUUCUCCCUCCUUUUACCCAGAGAGGGGUCAUACAGUCUGAUGGCAUGAGGGUCAAAGGAGUUUUCAGUCCGUGUGGCUAAUAUAGCUGAAGGCUAACAGCUCCAGGUCGGGACAACAUACACUCACCGGCCACUUUAUUAGGUACACCAUGCUAGUAACGGGUUGGACCCCCUUUUGCCUUCAGAACGGCCUCAAUUCUUCGUGGCAUAGAUUCAACAAGGUGCUGGAAGCAUUCCUCAGAGAGCUUGGUCCAUAUUGACAUGAUGGCAUCACACAGUUGCCGCAGAUUUGUCGGCUGCACAUCCAUGAUGCAAAUCUCCCGUUCCACCACAUCCCAAAGAUGCUCUAUUGGAUUGAUAUCUGGUGACUGUGGAGGCCAUUUGAGUACAGUGAACUCAUUGUCAUGUUCAAGAAACCAGUCUGAGAUGAUUCCAGCUUUAUGACAUGGCGCAUUAUCCUGCUGAAAGUAGCCAUCAGAAGUUGGGUACAUUGUGGUCAUAAAGGGAUGGACAUGGUCAGCAACAAUACUCAGGUAGGCUGUGGCGUUGCAACGAUGCUCAAUUAGUACCAAGGGGCCCAAAGAGUGCCAAGAAAAUAUUCCCCACACCAUGACACCACCACCACCAGCCUGAACCGUUGAUACAAGGCAGGAUGGAUCCAUGCUUUCAUGUUGUUGACGCCAAAUUCUGACCCUACCAUCCGAAUGUCGCAGCAGAAAUCGAGACUCAUCAGACCAGGCAACGUUUUUCCAAUCUUCUAUUGUCCAAUUUCGAUGAGCUUGUGCAAAUUGUAGCCUCAGUUUCCUGUUCUUAGCUGAAAGGAGUGGCACCCGGCGUGGUCUUCUGCUGCUGUAGCCCAUCUGCCUCAAAGUUCGACGUACUGUGCGUUCAGAGAUGCUCUUCUGCCUACCUUGGUUGUAACGGGUGGUUAUUUGAGUCACUGUUGCCUUUCUAUCAGCUCGAACCAGUCUGGCCAUUCUCCUCUGACCUCUGGCAUCAACAAGGCAUUUCCGCCCACAGAACUGCCGCUCACUGGAUAUUUUUUCUUUUUCGGACCAUUCUCUGUAAACCCUAGAGAUGGUUGUGCGUGAAAAUCCCAGUAGAUCAGCAGUUUCUGAAAUACUCAGACCAGCCCUUCUGGCACCAACAACCAUGCCACGUUCAAAGUCACUCAAAUCACCUUUCUUCCCUAUACUGAUGCUCGGUUUGAACUGCAGGAGAUUGUCUUGACCAUGUCUACAUGCCUAAAUGCACUAAGUUGCCGCCAUGUGAUUGGCUGAUUAGAAAUUAAGUGUUAACGAGCAGUUGGACAGGUGUACCUAAUAAUGUGGCCGGUGAGUGUAUAAGUGCCUUUAAGGAGAUAUGUCCUAGGCUACACCAUUGGUUGUUAACAUAAAUGAUGAGUCUGCCACAUUUGCUUUUCCCACAUGCUGUAGUGUCUCUGUCAGCUCUCACAGCAGUGAAUCCCUGCAGAUCCACGUUAGCAUCCGGUAUGAUGUUACUAGCCUUUGGCUUGGCCUGAGCUUUGCAGCCUCUGGAUAUCCUCCUCAGCUCUGCCGGUAUGAAGGGUCAUUCCCCAGCUUGUCCCAUUGUUUUUAGAGCUAAAAUGUCCAAUAGAGCUUAAAUAAUAAUAAUGCAUCAGAUUUUUAUGGCGCUUUUUGUCAGUGACCUCAAAGCGCUUUACAUUGGAUACAUCAUUCAUUCACUCACACAGUCACACUCUGGUGGUGGUAAAUUACCUUAGUAGUCACAGCUGCACUGGGGCAGACCGACGGUAACGUGGCUGCCAGUUUGCGCCUACAGCCUCUCCACCACACAACACUCCCAAUCAUUCACUAGUGGAGGACACACAUUGGGAGCAAGGUGGAUUAAGUGUCUUGCCCAAGGACACAACGGACAGACUGGGGAUAGGGCAGGGUUGGAACCGCCAACCCUCAGGUUGUUUGCCGAAUGCUCUACCUCCUGAGCUACUGCUGCCUGAAGUAGCUCAGGGGGUAGCUACUCCUGAGCUACUUUAGGUGGUAGCUACUCAGGAAGUCGCUAAAUAUCCAAUAGAGUUACUGGAAAGGCAGCUGCCUUGUACAGCACCAUAGCAUUAUGGGGGAGCACAUUGAAGUUAACCUUAAUAUGAGACACCACUGGUCUAAAAACCAGUGUCAUUCAAACACUUCACUGGAAAACCAAGUUAUAUUAUGACCACUGAUCAAAUUAGUUCUUGUUUCCUGUCUUUUCACUUCAGUCUGUAUUUGUACACCCCAUCACCCUUACCAGUGACUCUCCCUCUCCAAGUUGUUUCAAAGUCAUUUAAAAAAGUAAUCAACUCAAACUCCAAACUCAAGAAAAACUUCCAGUCAUGCAGCUCAAUUUAAGAAACUGAUCAUCUUUUAUAACUUAGAUUACAUUGGAAACUUUUCUGACACAUCUCUAUCUGUUCACGCCAAACAGCUCUGACACCCUGAGUUAAAUCACUCUGAGGGAGCCAUUAUGAAGUGAUUACACAUACUUGUGCAGCACCUCCACAUAUUCAACAAAAAGAAGUUAACAUUGGUUUGAACAUUUCUAUAAGUGGUGAAGAUAACAGACUGUAUGUGUGCAUGGAGAUGAUUUACAAUAUAAAUGAGAACAUUAUUUCAUGGCUGUGGGUUUUUUAAUCACAUCAUUAGAGGGGUUCAGUAUGAAAUACAAAAUCUAGUCUUGUUUCAUAUACAUUUCCAAGUUAAGCUUAAGGUAUCCGGACUCACAAUUUACAAAGCUUUCAAGGGGGUAAGAACAUAAAAAAACUGUACAUCUGAAAAGUCUAAGAUGUCAAUGAUGAACCAGCUAAACUGCAGCAUAUCCCCAAGCUUCCAGAUUGCCCCACUUCAGACCAACAAAUGAAGAUCCUUGCUCAGGAAAGAACAUCCUCUCUCAAACACAGGAAAUGAGUUGACAGCCCCAGAUCCAUGAAAUAAACAGGACACACUCUCACUCACUUACAAAGACAAUUUACUCUAAAGUCAAAGUAUUAGAAAAUACAGUAGCAGACAAUAAUGAGUUGAAGAGCUUACAGUAGAAGAAGCUAUUUGGAUUACAUUGCAUUAGGGAUGUAUUGUAUUAUGGGUCUGACUAUCAAAAUUAAAUUAAAUAAAACAUCCUUUCAUUAGAUUUUUAUGUAGUUGACAACAGUAGUCCCAAGCAAUACAAAUAAACACUGCGAGAUAACUAAAAAUGAAAUAAAUUCUCAAGAUUGAGAUAUAAAAUUUAGCUUUUUUGAACAAACGGAGACUUAGGUAAAUAAAUCAGAUGUCAUUUGAUGAAAAAGUUUGAAUAAUUUGACUAAAACCACUUUAAAUCUAAAAUCUGUUUGUUAGAUUUCCAAUCCAGUUUAAGUGCAGCCAGAUCAGCAAGUUGUCGUCCCACAGAUCCCCUCCCAGAAACUUCUCUGUGUAUGCAUGCGUUCCAGUAACACAAUUUGUCAGCAUCUGUUAGUGUGACAUAUGUGUGUGUUUGUGUGUUCAUGCGUGUGUGUGUUUGUGUGUGACUGCUUCUGCUGCAGCUGACACUUGGGCAAUAUCAUUACAUGACAACUGCCAAUGUGUCCACCGGGGCUGAUUCAUUGGCCCUGAGUCUGGGGGCUCGCCCAGGAAAGAAGGCCCUCCAUCAAGCUGGAAGUGAGCAGACGCUGGCCUCAAGCUGACAGCUUUCCGAUAUGCAAACUUUCUCUGUUUAUUUAUUUGCUUCUUAAUGACCCCAGGUUCAAGCCAAGGGGGCUUUUCUUUUUUUCCUUCUGUGAAAAAAAACAACAACGCAGUCAUUUUUCCUGUUGAUCAUUUGUCACCGGCACAUCAAAGUCAAGGGCUGGAGUAACUUUGAAUAGAAAGUUUGCUCCACACUUGAGAUGGAUGCCUUUGAAAGUUUACCCUUUAAUACCUAUAAGUGCUUGUGUCGUUCCUGCCCUCUUUGACACACAUUCUGUUACCUCUGCCCACACACCUUCUCCUCUUAUUCCCCUUUACUCUCAGCUCCCCCUCCCUCCCUGCUUUAAUCAGAGUAAUGCCAACCCAUCUCAGCGCUAAGGGCUAGGUUAGACAACAAGUCGAGUAAUGAGAUUACAUGCAGACUACAGCACUGCAUGCGGUUAAGUUAGCGGAGGUGGUAAGGGGGCAGCCUCCGCUCUUCUGCCUUUGUAAGCUUUUGGAAGGGCACUCAAAUGAGUUGGCUGAGCACAAAACAUCGCUCCAGCUCUUUCAAUUCACGCCUCUCUUUGCGAGUUACCUUUGGCACUUUCCUGAAACGCCUCAAAAGGAGAGAGCUGGCUGUUACUUUGAUGUGUUGUUAUAACUUCCCCCAGCCCAGUCUUCGAGUGACUCUUGAAGUUGCACUGUCUCAGACUCUCUAUGCAUCAGACUCUUUGGCUCUUUUCUGCAUGUUAAUGAACUCUGCAAUAAUCCGCGUUGGGUUUCUUUGGCAGGGGUUGGCUCAGGACAGACAGCUCAGUGCUUCUCUUAUUUUUUGAGACUGUUUCAGUAUGGGCAAGCAUAUGUGUGUCUGCAGUGAGAGACUGGGUGCAGUGGCGGAGUUAGGCUGUCUGAAAGGGAGGGCCAAAAUAAAGAAGAAAAGAAGAGGGAGCCAGAUAUAGCUGGUUGGACACUGAUCUGGAAAGAGUUUUAAAAAUUCAUGGCAAAACAGUCCAAAUCCUUUUAAAAGAUGACUGUGUUUUCAAGGCUUUUAUUUUUACAGCACACUCAUAUGAAUACAACAUUUUUAUGUGCCUACAUUUCACCCAACAUUGACAAAUAAAAUAUUCUUCUUAUAGUUUUUUUAUUGGCAUUGAAGAGACAUUUCUUGGUGUGUUAAUAAUAGCAACUAUCACAAAUCGUGCCCAAUGCGUGGUCUGUUUCUGCAGAUGGACACAUUUCUAACUACUACCAUACCAAAGUGAGGCCAAAAUACCCCCUGGUUGCAGAUGCUGACAAUUUGCAUCAGUGACAUGUUUGGAGCCAGAGUCUGCUUAGUGAGCUGUGGUAUUGACAUCCUGCCCACUUGGCUUAUUAAAGCACACAUUUAAGUCACUGAUAAAAGCAGCAGAGAUCCCUCAGGUCGCUACAGUCUACAGCAGGAAAGAUUCUUUGCUUGAUUUGGAGCGGACACCCAUCGUGAUGGAAAGUUUAAUGACUCUCGUGUGAGGGUUUGUGCAUUUUUAUUCUUGUAGCUACACCGCUGCUCUGCUAAUCUGUUGCGCACAGCGCCACAGGAGCAGCAUGUGUGAAGAGAGCUGUCAAUCAUGUCAUACUCUGUUUUCAGUAUCAGUUUACCAAUUAAAGCUAAAGAUGAAAAUCUGGGCAAAUAUCAUGGUGAUAAGAACUAACUCCAAUAUUCCAUCAGAUCUAUGUUUACGGUAGUGGAGCAGAAAGGUUUUCCCUUUAGUCACAGUGUUUCCUUUUACUGUCCAAUCCAGAGCUCUUCUCAGCUGAUAUGCACAGCUUAAUUUUUUUGUCACGAUGCGCAUGAUGCAUCAAUCAGCGCAGGUAAGAUUGUGGAAGAUGGAAAGUCAGACCCCAAAACAACAUAAAACCAUCCAAUUAAUUUAAAAUAAAUCACCUAAUGUUGACACAUCAUGAUUCACUAACUAGACCAUCAAACCUCCACAGUAAGCAGAGCCAGGCCUGUUUUCAACAGGUCAGAGGUUUUCAGAGGUCAUUUUAAGUCUGUAUUUGAAACUGAACAUCCUUGGGCUUAUGAGUCCAGCAAAACAAGAUCGCAAACAGACUGAACAUGGACUUCGGUGUUAAACCACAGAGACUGUGUAGGAGAAGGUUUUCCACGAUCGAUAUUUUAAUUAAAGCUUGUCCAAUCUGUUCACAUGGAGGAGGUGCGACUUACAUCCACAUACUGUAUGAAAUGUGAUUUGGUAUUAAUGAGUUAUUUGAUGCUAAAAUGAUAAGAAAAAAAAAAAAAAAACCUUAACUAACAGACUUUUGUUCCACCCCUAUUUCACUUUUUCUCAACUGGACUGAUUGUAUUAUUUCAUUUCCUAGCAUUGCAUGAAUUACUGUAACAACAAUAUUGUUAUGAUAUCCUAUGGCCACAAUAAUGAUGAUGGGAGAAUCUGAAAUUGUGACAGCCCUAGUGUGACGUUAGUCUUGCAGCUUCACCAACCAGAUGGCUUUUGCACAUACUGUAGUUUGGCUCCACCAACACAAUAUAUCAGCGUCCAUCAAAGUGGUGUUUUGGCUUCACAUCUCAUAAUGGGAAGAGGCGGAGAUCUAUUGUUUGACCUAUCAUAAGAUAGUAUUUUCAUUAUUUUUCCUGCCUGAUGUUGUCUUUCAUUUGCCACCAUUUGAUUUUUGCAAUACUUAUCUGUCAUGUGAGAAGAGAGUAAGGUUCGAGCAUACACACCAGAUGAGAGCACAGGGAGGAGGAGACAGCAGGAGACAGUCAUGAUAAGAAACAUCCACUCUUUCAAUUACAAGAACAGCAGGCUCACAUGUUGACUGACCUAUGUCCCUCCAAUUUAGGCAAGCUGUAGCCUGAUGUAGAGCUGUGUUUCUGUCUUCAGUCUUUGCUUUGUUUUGGUUGAAAAUUUUGGGUUGCCAUGUCUAAAAGCUAUGUUUUGUUUUGGACUUGCCAGUCAGAGUCUACAUCCACUACAGCUUUCUGUUUUUACAGACUGGGGAUCAAAAAGCACUCUACUCAUUCAUAGACUAAAUAUUAAGAUACGAUUGGUUAUAGGAUGUGACUGAGAGUUAAAGUAUAGCUUAAACACAUCUGUAUAGUAAAACCACUCUGGGAGCUAUUACCUAUUAAACCAUCUGGGAACAUGUACCGGCAAACUCAUUUUACAACAUGUAGGGCAGACUGCGAGGCGCUGCAUUGCAUUUUCUCCAUUUUUAAGGGCACACUAGAGGGCUUUGUAAUGUUCCUAAGUAAGUCAGAGUAUCUCAUGUAGAUAAGAGAGAGAGAAAAAGAAAAAAUCUUAUCCUUUCUCCGGUCCAGAACUAGACUCAUUACACGGCUCUGUUUGCUCUGCCAAAGAUCGCUGUCUGCAUGUCUUAUUGAAGAAGAAGGUUGAUACCAUCAAACCACUUGAAUAAUCAUACCGCAGCUGUUAACCAGGAUCUGCCUUUUCAUCAUUCAUCUGCACCUGAACUGUGUUUGAUUUGACUGUGCUCUUCUCCUCUGGUAAAGAUGAGUGUGUACUUGGUCGUAUAUGUGUGUGUGUGUGUGUGUUGACAUGCUCACAGGAUUCGUGCAGGGAGCUUAAGAGAAAACUAUUUCACGUGUUUUAUAAGUAUGGUAAACAAAAUACAAAUGCUGUUGGUGUGUGUGUGUGUGUGUGUGCGGGCAUUGAUGUGAUUAAAUGUAUUGCACCAUGCAGGGAAUCUUGAUCUUGUGAGGGUCAGACUAUAGAAGGAUUAGACAGGGUAUGGAAAUACAGGUGCAGAUCUCUCUUUGCAUGCAAGGAAGAGGAAUCAGAUUUCUGUGUGUAGGUGUGAGGGAGUAUGUGUGUGGGUGUGGGGUUUGUGGGUGUGUGUGUGUGUGUGUACAUUGGCUGUUCCCAGAGGAAAGAACUUCAAAGGCACUCAGAUUAUCUUCUAUUAAUGCAAAUCAGUGCACUGGAAAGGAAGUGAAAUAUAUGAAUGCAGGAACACAGACUGUUGUGGAGUGGAUAGUUUGGUCUUUUGGCAAACGGGGUUCCAUUUAAAACAUCUCCUUCUGUUUCAUUUUUGGCCCCCUCCCUCCUGACGACUCUCCUGUGGUGAGAACUCUUAGAUGCACCUUUCCUACUCUUCAUUACGCUCUAAUACCUCUGCUGACAACAUCAUGGAUUGGCCUCGUCCUGCCUGGAGCUUGAGUAAUCUGCAUCUGUGUGUCGCAGAUGACCACGACCGAUCCCUGUAGGUGAUCCAUCACCAUGGAAACCGGGCGACAGGGACCAACUAGAAAUGCAACAAUUGAUCGAUGUGCAAACUGUAAUUAAAAGCGCUGCUCUAAUAAGUACCGUGGGAGCAAUAGCUAUCACACAUGCAGGGCCAGAGCAGAGGAGAGGAAGAAGAUGGAGAGAAGGUGAAGGAGGAGGGGAAGAAGGGAGUGAGGGAUAAGAGGGAUGGAGAUGGAUAUGGGAGGUAUUAAAGAUGAGUAGAGUUAGGAGGGAGGGGAGCGAGGGAUGCUGGAGGGCUAGAAUGAGAAGGCCUGGGUGAGAAGAUCAAAGCUCAAGUGUUACGAUGGACAGAUUGAAAAGCAUGGGGUCGGGGGAGGCAGAGGAAGGUGCUGUUGGCAGAAUAUCUAACAAGCAGCAGCAAAAAAAAAAAAAAAAAGCAGAAGAGGAGAAGGAAGGAGGCCAGGGAGGAGGCUGAGAUGAAUUGGCUGCAAAGAGAAAAAUCAUCUUUGAAUUAUGAAACAUUUUACAGGCUUGCUUCUGUUUUGGAGCCUGAUGUGGUGCACCCGACCUCUGCAUAUUUAACUCUGUUUAUGACCAGGGGAUUGACUCCAAAGAUGAGGCGCUGGGGUCGCGUACAAACAAAAAAAAAAAAAAAAAAGAAAAAGUUCAAAUGCAGCCCUUUGUCUCCUAAUCUCCUUCCAUAUCUUAUGAGGCUGCACCCACAAACACGUCCUAAUUAAAAUCCAUCUUAAGUCCCAGCAACAAUAAAUCACAUAUGCAUACUUCCCAUCAUGUGUGGGUUUUGAGUGAACACAAACACAUACGCUGAAACACACCAAAGUCAUAAACCCAGGGUGGGAUAUUCUUCUAAAUCCCUUCGUAAACAAUUAGGCAAGUUAUAGAGUGUUUAAUGAGAUAAAAGAAGAUAAAACCUUGUCUUUUGUUUGUCUGUCCGCUGGGACCAUGAGCUCCGAGUUAGUUUGUGUUAUCAGGAUGUCUCCCCUGAGAAGACUGCACGGCUGGAAAGCUCCAGGCAUUAACACACACUUGCUUCCAUCCCAGGGUGUGUGUGUGUGUGUAUGUGUGAGUAGGGGGGGUCUGGCGUGUGGGCGUGUAUUUCAACUUCAGCACGAUGCUCCAGGUAUAAACGAAGUAUCAAGUUUAUUCAAUUUGUCCUUUUUAUUUAGCUUGGCUCUUCCCUGUGUUUGCGUUAGUGUGUGUGAGUGUGUGUGUGUGUUUUCCCUCUCGCUCUCCAGGCCUCCUUCUCCCCAAGCCCUGAAUACAUGUACGGCAUCUUCUCUGAACCCCACACGCCUUCAAACAACAGCACAGCAGAGACACGUUUAAGUUGCCCAGGAGGCGGCAAAUUAAACAAAGCUGUGAAGGAGAAAUUCCUCCCUCUCCCUUUUCAUUUGAAUUUGUGAUUGCUUGCUGUGUAGCUGCUGUCUGCCCGUACACAUUGGGAAGCAUGAAAUGAGAGGUGUUUAUUGAGACUCAUGUGGUGUUAAGCGGACAGGAUACAGUGAAAUCUCAUUUUCAUUCACACCAGCCGGAGCUCAUUCAAAACAAUGCACCAGGAGCUCCUGCUACAACGGACCAGGAAUCACAUAAAAACAGUUUACAAAAUUACUCCUGCUAUAACAGCCACCGCUUCCUCUCCCUCUGCCCAUCUGCCUGCUUUUCUAUCAAGUUCAUCUCCAUCUUUCUCCUCUCUUAUCAACCCUUCCCACAAAGUCCGCGCUGAUAGUCCUCACAUCAUACACUCAUCAAGAGAAAAAGGCCUUUUCUGUCCUUUCACAAGUCUAAAAAGAUCCCAUCCACGCCCGAAACGUCUACAAAUAUUUUGCCCCAUAAAUGAUUCAUACAUCUUUGCAUCUGAUGGCUGAAUUCAUGUCCUUGUUUACUUGUUCUUCCCCCCACUUUAAAAUGUGAUAGGACUUUUUUUUUAUACACAAGACUGCAAUUACCAGGGCGCAGAAUAGCCAGGGAGGAAAAAGCAGAAAUGUCACCACACUCGACUGAGCUAAACUGGCUAAACGAUGACAAGCACUCUGCCUGUCAGAUAAACAGACUAACAGGCAUCCGGGUUUGAACGUACACUUCAGGAUUCCUCAUUAAGAGAGGCUAAUGCGGACAUUCGGCACGGCAAAUUGGCAAGACAUCAAACCUUGUGUGUUAUGGGAUGAGGGUAGGGGCUUCAGUCCAUGAGAUCAUAAACCCUCAUGAUCAUAUAAUUUGACAGGCGCCUCUUCCUGUGACAUCAAGGGGUAAUAUGUGCGAGGGUCACAUAUAUUUCUCUCUAAUAAAAGGAGAUGAAAGAUCAUGCUUUCUUUUGAUUUUUAUUGACACUUCUCAAUGCAGUGUCACUUGAAAACUGCACCCUCUGCUACUUUGAAGGUUAAAGGUCAUGCUGCGGAUAAUAGUGCCAUCUCUGAGUUUUUAUUUUCUGCACAGUAGCAGUUUUCGGUGCCAGUGUCACAUUGUUUUUCCUCAACCUGUCCCAGAGCUGCAUGUGUCUUUUUUCCUCCCUCCUUUUCCUCUCUCCACUCCCCCUUUACUAAUUUGUGUCGCGGCUAAUGACACAUUCAUCUUCGGUCACCUUCAAUGCAGAGCUGUUCUUGACAAAUGUUCUCGCUUUCUAGAGGCCGCCAGUGUCAAAACAUCAGAGAGGGAGAGUGGCAGAAUAAAUACCAACAACGGAUGCUUCCUUCAGGAUAAUCACCACUGCUGCUGGCCUGCUCCUGGCACUCGGCACCCUGCUUGAUUUGCACAGCUUGUGUGUGUGAGUGUGUGAGUGUGUGAGUGUGGUUGUCUUUUUCGGGUGCAUGCAAGCUUGCAACUCUGUGUGAUUAAUCUAUACUGAGUGAAAGGUAGGGUGCAAUCAGCGCUCCAUUUGUGAAUACCAAAGGGCUCCGUGACCAUGAAGGGGAAACGGGAAAUAGGAGAUGGCGUGUCCAGUGUUUUGGCAGGGUAAUGGAGCCUAAGAAGUCAUUUAGGACCAGCUCUGCCCUGUCACAUGCCUGUCACACCGCUGGCUCGGCGGUGUCACAUCCAAUGUGCGUCUGGUUGAGCGCCGCGCGGCACACUGGCAUCUCUCAUAGUCCUGCGUCAGUCAAAGACAACACACAUGACAAUCAAAAAUACACACAAACCCACUAGCGCACAUGUGUACGUUACAUUAUGGAGAAAAAAAAAAGAAAAACAGGGAACGGCGCUGCAGUGACCCCGUCAAGCCAUCAAAUGUGUCCCUGCCAGAUAAACAUCCUCUAGACACUGUGACAUUUUCCCCAACACAAGCCGAGUGUGAAGUCUGCAAACGUGCAUGGCUGUGAGUGCAUGUGUUGAUGUGUGCAUGUCUGUCUGAGUGUUUUAUUUAUGCAUGCAGAAAUACCAGGCCUUUCAUAUAAAGAGCGGAAUGGAUGUAUGACCCUGUUGUAAUGGGUAAUAAAUCACCCCUCAUGAAGGAUGAGCGCUGCUUUUAUUUAUUUAUUUUUUGGGUAACUCGACACCCUAAAAUGUUACCAUUAGCAUUUUUGUUGUGUCAAGUCUAUAAAUGACAGUAAGAUUUAUGCAAAGACAGUGAGAUGAUGCCAGUUGUUUGUGGCAUGGUCAUGAGAGUCAUGUCAAAGCUGCCGGGUUUUGAUCAAUGGAAAAAGAGCAGCAAGUUGACUUCAUCUGGUUUGACGUCUGCUUUUAGCUCCCCGUCAAGCUGAAUUGAAAUAUUUGGUAUUUGUCUUUCUAUAUGCUGUGUGAAGAGAGAUACUUGUCCCGCUGACACACUUUGUACCAAGUGUUUAACAAUUUAAAUCCUCUGACAGCAAACAGUUUUGCUAUGUCUUUGAAAUUAGAAGUUAUCCCUGUCAGUGCCUGCAGUAUAUUUUUAUUGGACUGACUUAACAGCCUUCUUCAUUUCAGCAGACAUAAACUAAACACUCUUGGUGUAAGUACAGAUUGUAAGACAAUUUACAAUAUUUCCUGUUUUAUGUUUUCACCCAGGCACCAAUGCAAUCAAUCCAGACCAGGCAAACUGAAGCCCAGCAGUGUGCCUCUCAGUCAGACCACCUCCAAAGGUUUCACUUUCACUCUCCAAAGUCCUUCUUCUUCCCUGGUAUUCCAUUUGUCGUCCUCCUCCCUCUCCACACCCUGAGCGAGGUUGAAUUAAUGUUUGACUGUGGGAGACUUGUAGAUGGCAAAUGUUCACAUUCAUUAUGCAUGACUUCCAUGUUGCUGUUAAUUUCUCGGAGCCAGCCAAGUCGAGG